CCUACGGGAGGCUGCAGUGGGGAAUCUUGCGCAAUGGGCGAAAGCCUGACGCAGCGACGCCGCGUGAGGGAUGAAGGUCUUCGGAUCGUAAACCUCUGUCAGCAGGGAAGAACGGUCACUGUGCUAAUCAGCAGUGAAUUGACGGUACCUGCAAAGGAAGCACCGGCUAACUCCGUGCCAGCAGCCGCGGUAAUACGGAGGUUGCGAGCGUUAAUCGGAAUUACUGGGCGUAAAGCGCUCGUAGGCGGUAUGUCAAGUCAAAGGUGAAAUCCCCGCGCUUAACGGGGGUACUGCGUUGGAAACUGGGAAACUGGAGUGUGUGAGAGGAGAGUGGAAUUCCAGGUGUAG
rnacentral:rRNA from 1 species